CUGAAACACCCUGCAAUUUAGAUAUAUUCUCGUGUAACAUCUGUUUUGGUGAACAUUUAAAACACCAUUGCGAUGAGCAAUCGCUUUAUGGUUUCAAUUGCACUAAGUUCACCAGUGCUUUUCUUCAUUUUGCAGACAACAAACUGCAAUUACAAAAAAAGAAAAACGAACAGAACUAAAACGAAAGUGCAAAAAAAACUUUUUCUUGAUUGUUAUGUUUAUGUAAAAUAAAUGCCUGUCACUGUUUAAACUACAUCAUCGCAUCGUGUGAACAGCAACAGCAACAAUCCAAUUAGACUCGGAGAAGAAAAAAAAAGUGUGUUUAAGUUCAAUCGAAUGCUGUUGACAUGUAACAAUGACAAACGUCAAAUUAAAUUAAACAAAUAAGUCGUGACCCUUGGCUUUGGCUGAAUGCUGAACGGUUUCAUUUAAGUGUUUGCCCGUCAAACAUUACAAAAACAAACAUACCUACAGUUUCUGUCGUUGCUUGUUUAAAUAAAAGGAAAGGUUUUAGAGAGUCGUUUGGUCGUUACACAAGAGAGGGCAGCACAUUAUUAUGUUCGGUUUGGUUUUUGUUGACAAUGACAUUGGCCAAACAAUAUUAACGGUCGGUGUGACGGUGACAGAGACGACAAUGAUGUCGAAGUCGAUUAUGGAUGUUGAAAUGAAAUACAAACUGGCCUGUGACUAUAAGAUGACCGCACAGACAAAAGUGGGGAAUUGAACGAGAAAUACAAGUUAUGGUGUGUAAUACGGGUUGAAGGUGCUAAAUAUUAUUCAUUGUUUUUAUUUUUAUUUUUGCUAUUUAUUUUUGUUGGUCAUGCUUUCUGGCGAACCUAAUCGAUGAUGUCAUAUCAGGUGUUUCAUUUUUUGUUAUUUUUUGUUUUGUUUACUUAGCUGAAUAACUGAGAGUGAGAAAAAAACAUCACAAGUCAUAUAUAUUGAUUAGAAAUAAUUUAAUUAUAUAGUUUUGUUAUGAAUGUGAUAAACAAUAAAGAUUGUCAAAAGAAAUUCGAAGAACAA